rnacentral:rRNA from 1 species
AGAGUUUGAUCCUGGCUCAGGACGAACGCUGGCGGCGUGCCUAAUACAUGCAAGUCGAGCGAAUCGAUGGGAGCUUGCUCCCUGAGAUUAGCGGCGGACGGGUGAGUAACACGUGGGCAACCUGCCUAUAAGACUGGGAUAACUUCGGGAAACCGGAGCUAAUACCGGAUACGUUCUUUUCUCGCAUGAGAGAAGAUGGAAAGACGGUUUACGCUGUCACUUAUAGAUGGGCCCGCGGCGCAUUAGCUAGUUGGUGAGGUAAUGGCUCACCAAGGCGACGAUGCGUAGCCGACCUGAGAGGGUGAUCGGCCACACUGGGACUGAGACACGGCCCAGACUCCUACGGGAGGCAGCAGUAGGGAAUCUUCCGCAAUGGACGAAAGUCUGACGGAGCAACGCCGCGUGAACGAAGAAGGCCUUCGGGUCGUAAAGUUCUGUUGUUAGGGAAGAACAAGUACCAGAGUAACUGCUGGUACCUUGACGGUACCUAACCAGAAAGCCACGGCUAACUACGUGCCAGCAGCCGCGGUAAUACGUAGGUGGCAAGCGUUGUCCGGAAUUAUUGGGCGUAAAGCGCGCGCAGGUGGUUCCUUAAGUCUGAUGUGAAAGCCCACGGCUCAACCGUGGAGGGUCAUUGGAAACUGGGGA